AGAGUUUGAUCCUGGCUCAGGAUGAACGCUGGCGGCGUGCUUAACACAUGCAAGUCGAACGAAGCAAUCUUGAAACCUAGUGAUGGAUUGACUGAGUGGCGGACGGGUGAGUAACGCGUGGGUAACCUGCCUCAUACAGGGGGACAACAGUUAGAAAUGACUGCUAAUACCGCAUAACCCGCUAGGGCCGCAUGGCCCGGACGGAAAAGGAGCAAUCCGGUAUGAGAUGGACCCGCGUCUGAUUAGCUGGUUGGUGGGGUAACGGCCUACCAAGGCAACGAUCAGUAGCCGAACUGAGAGGUUGACCGGCCACAUUGGGACUGAGACACGGCCCAAACUCCUACGGGAGGCAGCAGUGGGGAAUAUUGCACAAUGGGGGAAACCCUGAUGCAGCGACGCCGCGUGAGUGAAGAAGGUUUUCGGAUUGUAAACUUCUUUUAUUAAGGACGAAAAAUGACGGUACCUAAUGAAUAAGCUCCGGCUAACUACGUGCCAGCAGCCGCGGUAAUACGUAGGGAGCAAGCGUUGUCCGGAUUUACUGGGUGUAAAGGGUGCGUAGGCGGCUUUGCAAGUCAGAUGUGAAAUCUAUGGGCUCAACCCAUAAACUGCACUUGAAACUGUAGAGCUUGAGUGAAGUAGAGGCAGGCGGAAUUCCCCGUGUAGCGGUGAAAUGCGUAGAGAUGGGGAGGAACACCAGUGGCGAAGGCGGCCUGCUGGGCUUUAACUGACGCUGAGGCACGAAAGCGUGGGUAGCAAACAGGAUUAGAUACCCUGGUAGUCCACGCUGUAAACGAUGAUUACUAGGUGUGGGGGGUCUGACCCCUUCCGUGCCGGAGUUAACACAAUAAGUAAUCCACCUGGGGAGUACGGCCGCAAGGUUGAAACUCAAAGGAAUUGACGGGGGCCCGCACAAGCAGUGGAGUAUGUGGUUUAAUUCGAAGCAACGCGAAGAACCUUACCAGGUCUUGACAUCCAACUAACGAAGUAGAGAUACAUUAGGUGCCCCUCGGGGAAAGUUGAGACAGGUGGUGCAUGGUUGUCGUCAGCUCGUGUCGUGAGAUGUUGGGUUAAGUCCCGCAACGAGCGCAACCCUUGCUAUUAGUUGCUACGCAAGAGCACUCUAAUAGGACUGCCGUUGACAAAACGGAGGAAGGUGGGGACGACGUCAAAUCAUCAUGCCCCUUAUGACCUGGGCUACACACGUACUACAAUGGAUGUUAACAGAGGGAAGCAAGACAGUGAUGUGGAGCAAACCCCUAAAAACAUUCUCAGUUCAGAUUGCAGGCUGCAACCCGCCUGCAUGAAGAUGGAAUUGCUAGUAAUCGCGGAUCAGAAUGCCGCGGUGAAUACGUUCCCGGGCCUUGUACACACCGCCCGUCACACCAUGGGAGCCGGUAAUACCCGAAGUCAGUAGUCCAACCUCGUGAGGACGCCGCCGAAGGUAGGAUUGGCGACUGGGGUGAAGUCGUAACAAGGUA
rnacentral:rRNA from 1 species